GGCGUGCCUAAUACAUGCAAGUCGAGCGGACAGAUGGGAGCUUGCUCCCUGAUGUUAGCGGCGGACGGGUGAGUAACACGUGGGUAACCUGCCUGUAAGACUGGGAUAACUCCGGGAAACCGGGGCUAAUACCGGAUGGUUGUUUGAACCGCAUGGUUCAAACAUAAAAGGUGGCUUCGGCUACCACUUACAGAUGGACCCGCGGCGCAUUAGCUAGUUGGUGAGGUAACGGCUCACCAAGGCGACGAUGCGUAGCCGACCUGAGAGGGUGAUCGGCCACACUGGGACUGAGACACGGCCCAGACUCCUACGGGAGGCAGCAGUAGGGAAUCUUCCGCAAUGGACGAAAGUCUGACGGAGCAACGCCGCGUGAGUGAUGAAGGUUUUCGGAUCGUAAAGCUCUGUUGUUAGGGAAGAACAAGUACCGUUCGAAUAGGGCGGUACCUUGACGGUACCUAACCAGAAAGCCACGGCUAACUACGUGCCAGCAGCCGCGGUAAUACGUAGGUGGCAAGCGUUGUCCGGAAUUAUUGGGCGUAAAGGGCUCGCAGGCGGUUUCUUAAGUCUGAUGUGAAAGCCCCCGGCUCAACCGGGGAGGGUCAUUGGAAACUGGGGAACUUGAGUGCAGAAGAGGAGAGUGGAAUUCCACGUGUAGCGGUGAAAUGCGUAGAGAUGUGGAGGAACACCAGUGGCGAAGGCGACUCUCUGGUCUGUAACUGACGCUGAGGAGCGAAAGCGUGGGGAGCGAACAGGAUUAGAUACCCUGGUAGUCC
rnacentral:rRNA from 1 species